AUGUUUUGGAUGUGACUGCCUCUCCAUAUGUCCAUGGACUCAUCAAAUAGUUUAGCCCUUCCUACCUGUCUGGUGGACCAUCCCUCACCUCAGAGUAGAGCUAGUGAGGUCAGGUUGCUGACCAGCUUGCAUGGAAAGACUUGAAAUCUCGCAUUUCCUGGUUUUGGAGUCCUGAGGAAGUCUGAUACACAUUAUUGGGUUCAGGGGCUGCAGCUGCUGACUUUCAGAAAAUGUCUCAAGGGAGAGUUUGUGUGCAAAGCUCUAAACCUGGAAAGCCCAGUGCAGACUCCUGACAUUCAGCUUCUGUUGAAACUUCAGAGACUGAGCCUGUGAAACUGUGAUUCCAUGGAUGGGUCGGGGAGGUGUCCAUGCACUGGCAGCUUGCCCAGAUCUGCAAUAUCUGCUUUGCAGAGCUGUGUUCCAGUGCACUGGAGCAUUGCUGCCAAGAGGGAAGAGAACAGACCAGUGGCUUCCUACUGCAGCGCUUUCAUUGACAGAUCCCAAGCAGUUUUGCUUUACUAUUGAAAAUACAGUAGUCUGAGCAAGUUGACAAUGUGGGAAUUUGACUCAAACACGGUUUGAAUGGAUAAAAUAUAAAAAUCAUAUCUGGAA